rnacentral:rRNA from 1 species
GACGAACGCUGGCGGCGUGCUUAACACAUGCAAGUCGAACGGAAAGGCUCUGCUUUUGUGGGGUGCUCGAGAGGCGAACGGGUGAGUAUCACGUGAGUAACCUGCCCUUGACUUUGGGAUAACUUCAGGAAACUGGGGCUAAUACCGGAUAGGAGCUCCUGCUGCAUGGUGGGGGUUGGAAAGUUUCGGCGGUUGGGGAUGGACUCGCGGCUUAUCAGCUUGUUGGUGGGGUAGUGGCUUACCAAGGCUUUGACGGGUAGCCGGCCUGAGAGGGUGACCGGCCACAUUGGGACUGAGAUGCGGCCCAGACUCCUACGGGAGGCAGAAGUGGGGAAUAUUGCACGAUGGGCGGAGGCCUGAUGCAGCAACGCCGCGUGCGGGAUGACGGCCUUCGGGUUGUAAACCGCUUUCGCCUGUGACGAAGCGUGAGUGACGGUAAUGGGUAAGGAAGCACCGGCUAACUACGUG